GAUGAAGCUUUCUGGGUGAAGCUUUGAUGGUGAAGCUUUGUAGAUGAAGCUUUCUGGGUGAAGCUUUGAUGGUGAAGCUUUGUAGAUGAAGCUUUCUGGGUGAAGCUUUGAUGGGGAAGCUUUGUAGAUGAAGCUUUCUGGGUGAAGCUUUGAUGGUGAAGCUUUUUUUUUUUUUUUUUUUUUUGGGUGAAGCUGUUUUAAGUGAAGUUUUUUGGCUGUGUAUGAAUAGAUCUAUUGUUUGGAUAUAAGCCAUUGUUUGGUUGUUCCUUUCUUUGUAUAGUCUUGUCGACACAUACUUAGAUUUUGUUUCGUGUUGGAUAUAUCUGCUUUGAGGUUUCAACACUUGAGUGUUCCAUUGCUAGGAAUGUAAAAGAGUGAGGGCCAAGUUGGCUAAAUUACCUCUUUAGUGAAUUCAUUGCCAAAUGGCCUUCAUUACAUAGGAUACCGAAUGGCUAUAGCUCAACACUUGUACAUCGUGAGUCUAUUUGUAGUAGUACUUCAAGUGAUCAGCGUUCCAUGGAUG
rnacentral:lncRNA from 1 species